rnacentral:misc_RNA from 1 species
UUAAGUUCAGCGGGUGGUCCUACUCGAUUUGAGGUCAAGUUGUCAGUUGUUGUCUGAAGACAGUUGGAAAGCACAGAGCUCCUGAUCAGCCACCCUCUUGCGAGUGCCGGCGAAGAUACUUAUCACGCCGUACUAUGUCCAACCAAGAGUUGCACUAACACAUUUGAGGUAAGCUACGGUAAGGCAGCAAAACCCAAGUC